GGGAGGCGGGGGCAUCGGGUUGGGUUCCGGGCUCUGAACCGCCGUUCCGUAACCAGCGCUGCCCGUUGGAAGGUUUGGGUGUGUCUCUGCUGCGGGGCUGAAGCUUCACGUGCUGCCUACCUGUCGUGGACUACAGCGGCAAGCAUCUGGGUCCGCUCUAAGGAGCCUUUCAACUGUUCGACACUGAUGGAGUGUCGAGGGCACCGUCAGGGCCGUCCGCCUGGGAGACACAAAUCGGCUGGACCACGCUGAGGGCACCUGUCGUGGGAUGAAGCCUUCCUACCUGGGCUGUGCGAGUGACAACUGAGCUGGGACGUGGAGGAUGCAUCUGAUUUACCCGAAAAAAGAGUAGCGGGAAGGGUGUUCCAAGCAAAGAAUCUCUUGGUCAGAGACCUAGCGAUAAUAGAAAAAGUUGGGCUCAGGGAACUGAAAGUUCAUUAUGGCCGAACAGAGGGUACGGUGUGUGGGGAUGAGGCUGCGGAGGAACCCAGCAGCUGAAUCAUUCAGACCUAAUAAACUCUUAGGAAGUUUGAACUUUGGAAGUUUGAACUUUGGUAUUGAAAGAUUCUAAACUGAAGAACGGCAUUAUCAGAUUCGUGUUUUUAAAAAAUUACUCUGGCUGCAGUGUGGCGAAUGGAUUACAAAGGAGGGAGACUAAGGCAGGGAAACCACAGAGGCUAUGAUUGCAUUUUGGCAAAAGAUGAUGAUGCCCUCAAGUAAGGAAGAAGCAGUGGAAUUGGAGAGAAGUGGAUGGAUUCUGGAUAAUUUGGAAGGUAGCAUUACCAGGACUUGAAGAUUAGUUGGGAGAGGGAAAAUGUGAUGUUCCAAAUACAAAUGGUGCUCAGGUUCUGGCUUAGGAAGCUGGUGGGUCCUUCGUGGAGAUAAGGAACACAAGUGGAGAGGAGGUUGGGGAGACUGGAAGGUGCAGGAAAUCAGUUCAGUUUUAUGCCUGUUGAGGUCAGCUGAUAAAAACAAAUUCAGAAGUGAUUUCUUUGUGGGAUUUGGAAUAUAAGGUAGGGAGCAUCAGCAAUAAUAAUUUGAAACUGUUCUCA
rnacentral:lncRNA from 1 species